ensembl:lncRNA
UUUUGGGUCAGUCCGCCCUCAUGCCUGAGGUUGUAUUUUCCUUUGCUUGCCAAAUAAAACCAAGCUGUAACACUGGUCUGCUGCUUCAAACUUUUGCUGCAGUGAGACAGAACCAAGGAAAUUACAUACUCCCCCAACAUAUCUGGUGCCAUGACUCAGAUUUAACCUGGCUGAAACAACCUCAGUUUGGCCCCCCGCGAGGCAGAGGCCAAGCACAGCAGAAGCCCAACUUUGUGAAAGCUCCCGCGGUGGAAGCUGAACACAAAGAAAACCCAGUGCAGAGAAAGUGACAAGAAGCCCAGCAUGCCGGAAACCAGGACUGCAAUAACAAAUUUGGCAUCAAGCUCACACAGCUCAGUCUCAGAUUCCAGUAGACCUCCGGUUAAGGCCUGGCUAAGCAUCCAGAAGAAGAAUAAACAUACUUCUGACUCCUAGUGUUAUCCAUGAAACUAACAGAUGAACUGGACCUAUGCCCUCAAUCCUUAAAGAAGAGCAAACAUUUGCUGCCGUAUACUUGCAGUGUUGUUUACCAUCAUGAGCCAAGAAUAAAGUCAAAAGCCUGACUCAGUGCUUCUGGAGUAAGGAAUGAGGACGUGAGAACUGGUCUGCUUCACAGCUGCUGUGUGGAUGAAGUCAGUGCAUUCUUCAUGGAAGAGCCUUGAACUAGAGAAUGGUUGAAGGUCACCAUGCUGGAGCCCCAGUACCGUCUCCGGUAGAUUGGAAGUUUGGUUGGUUUGCCCAGUGAGAAAAGUGAGCCCAAGAGUCCAGUGACGCUUUCCAGGCCCUCCUCAACCUUGGCUUUUCUCUCAUAUGUCUCUGUACCAGCUGUUUCCGAAGGAAUUGUGGACAUGUGCAGAGCAUGGACAACUCCACUUGAGGUGGGGAAACUAAGGCAUAGAUCUGUUUGCCAACUUACUCAGGAUUAUGAAGCUGAUAGGUGGAAGUGCCAAUAUUCAGACACAGAUGAAGGUACAACCAAUUCAUUCUCACUGCAUGACCCCGCAGAGAGCUGGAGCAUUCAUGUUCAAAGAAAACUCUUCGAAUUGAGUCCACAAAGACUUCCCUCCAAGGAGACAGAGCUCUGUAAGUUGAACUUUCUGUGUUCACGGAAAGUUGUGAAUCAAGUGACAUCUUCCAGUGAUUUUCUCUGGCACCCUCAUACUUCCCAGACUUUGUUGGACCUCCAAAGUAGUCAUUUUUUCUAUUAUUGCUAAAGAUGCCAGCUGUAUAUCCAAUAGAAA